CCGGUGUAGCGGUGAAAUGCGUAGAUAUCGGGAGGAACACCUGUGGCGAAAGCGGCGCACUGGACCACAACUGACGCUGAGGCGCGAAAGCUAGGGGAGCAAACAGGAUUAGAUACCCUGGUAGUCCUAGCCCUAAACGAUGAUUGCUUGGUGUGAUCGGUACCCAAUCCGAUCGUGCCGCAGCUAACGCGAUAAGCAAUCCGCCUGGGGAGUACGGUCGCAAGACUGAAACUCAAAGGAAUUGACGGGGGCCCGCACAAGCGGUGGAGCAUGUGGUUCAAUUCGACGCAACGCGAAGAACCUUACCUGGGCUCGAAAUGUAGUGCAUCGGGGUAGAAAUAUCCCUUCCCGCAAGGGGUGCUAUAUAGGUGCUGCAUGGCUCUCGUCAGCUCGUGUCGUGAGAUGUUGGGUUAAGUCCCGCAACGAGCGCAACCCUUAUUGCCAGUUGCCAUCAUUCAGUUGGGCACUCUGGCGAGACUGCCGGUGAUAAACCGGAGGAAGGUGGGGAUGACGUCAAGUCCUCAUGGCCUUUAUGUCCAGGGCUACACACGUGCUACAAUGGUCGGUACAAACCGUCGCAAACCCGCGAGGGGGAGCUAAUCGGAAAAAGCCGACCUCAGUUCGGAUUGGAGUCUGCAACUCGACUCCAUGAAGCUGGAAUCGCUAGUAAUCGCGGAUCAGAACGCCGCGGUGAAUACGUUCCCGGGCCUUGUACACACCGCCCGUCACAUCACGAAAGUGGGCUGUACUAGAAGCAGGUGAGCCAACCGCAAGGAGGCA
rnacentral:rRNA from 1 species